rnacentral:snoRNA from 1 species
CUGCAUUCUUAAACCCCCCUGGCAGCUCGCUUAGUAGCUUCCAGGAUAAGAGUGAAUGCCAGAGAAAAAUGUUGAUUAAUCCAAAAUGCAGAGCUCUUCUCUUGUAGCUCUUCAUUAUUUCACAUCUUCAACAUUU